UGGGGAAUAUUGGACAAUGGGGGAAACCCUGAUCCAGCAAUGCCGCGUGUGUGAAGAAGGCCUUCGGGUUGUAAAGCACUUUCAGUGGGGAGGAAGGGCACAGCGCUAAUACCGUUGUGCAUUGACGUUACCCACAGAAGAAGCACCGGCUAACUCUGUGCCAGCAGCCGCGGUAAUACAGAGGGUGCAAGCGUUAAUCGGAAUUACUGGGCGUAAAGCGUGUGUAGGUGGUUAGAUAAGUUAGAUGUGAAAUCCCCGGGCUUAACCUGGGCACUGCGUUUAAGACUGUUUAACUAGAGUACUGUAGAGGAUAGUGGAAUUUCCAGUGUAGCGGUGAAAUGCGUAGAUAUUGGAAGGAACACCAGUGGCGAAGGCGACUAUCUGGACAGAUACUGACACUGAGACACGAAAGCGUGGGGAGCAAACAGGAUUAGAUACCCCCGUAGUCC
rnacentral:rRNA from 1 species